CCGUGGGCGACUGCAAAUCUGAAAGAAGCUGGCGGCAAAUGUUCGGUCCUAAGGACAGGAAUUUCAUAUAAGGAGGGUAUGUGUGGGUGAUGUUGCAAAAGAAACUAAAGCCCUUUAAGAGUAAGAUUACGCUUAUGUUUAUGGAAAGAAUUGAAAAUGUGUAGUACACGGG
rfam:Anditalea andensis strain LY1 Contig_15, whole genome shotgun sequence.